AACUCAGUGGGCUCAUUCCUGGGCCUGGUUCAUCGUCUGAUUAUUUUAGGUGCCAUUUAAGAAGUAUAAUGAGAGAUGAAAAAUUGGAAAGUUAUGUUUAUGACUCUUUCCCUGAUGUUCAUCAGUACAUGGCAAAUCAUGCCAAUUUGUGGAAAACACGG
rnacentral:lncRNA from 1 species